CUCCCCCAUUCCACCUGUUCUUCCGGCCUGGUACAUUGAGCAUGCUCAGACUUGAGGACGUGAAGGAACUGCUGAGGAACUGCUGAACCGUUGUGGAGGAGCAGCAGAAUCUGGAAGAAGAGAAGUUUAUACAGUUGCCCAGCAGAGAUGCCUCUUUGCUGUCUCAGCCUGGAUGCCUGUGGUAACAGUUGCAGUAGGAACACCCCACCUGAAAGUCUUCCAGUCAACAUCAUUGUAUCCUGGGAACCCCAAAUUUCUUGCUCUUCACCAAGUUCUGGAUAAACAAUUUUGAAGCUCCAAGCAAAUAAAUGUGAUUGUCAACUUCAUUUCUAAAUAGAGUCCUGUGGAGACCAACAAGUUGAGGACAUACUGGAAUUUAGGAGCAAGGCAUGUGCCCUAAACUGAUACAAAAACUCUUUUAAGAACAUAGAUGACAGUAUUGGGGGUAAAGAAAUCAGAGGAGAGAGGUGGUAUAUAGAGAGGGGGGAGAUACUCAGAGAGUGUGAUUGCUCACAUGAAUCCAGAGAUGAGGCAGUAGAUCUAGAUGGAAAAGUAUAAAGGAUUGCCUGCAAAUCCCAGUAAUUAGAAAGAGGCCUGGAGUCAGCUGUAUAAUUGAGACCUCAGACAGCUUGGUGUUUCUAACAAUCAAUUGUGAAACAUCACACUUCCAUGAACAGAUAUCCUGCCCAGGAUAUAUAGUUAUUCACCCAGCAAAGACAGAAAUUCCUUCUGCAUGGUCCUGCCACUUACCUCACUGAUGUCCCAUCCAGAGGAGUGUAGAUGUAACCAACCAUCUUAUUAAAUAAGAAACACAGAACCAAUGCAAAGAAGAAAGCCAAGAGGUCAGAGCUAAGAGCUAAAAACCUUACCCUUCCUUUCGCAGUGGUCCUACCUCUCCGAAAGAGAGCUACUUCCUUUGUGUCUGUCUUUAUAAAGACUUUCUGUUCUGCCUUCUCAUUGGUUGUAAACCCAACCACAUGACCACGUCAUCACUGCCUGUCUGUACAGACCUCCAGGUCUUCUGUAGUUGGUAUUGAGACUAAAGGCAUGUGUCUCCAAUGCUGGCUGUAUCCUUGAAUAUACAGAGAUCUACCUAGCUCUGUCUACCAAGUGCUGGGAUUAAAGGCAUGUCUUUCGCUAUGGCUUGCUAAUAGCUCUGACCCCCGGGCAACUUUAUUUAUUAACAUACAAAUCACAUUUCAGUACAAAUAAAAUAUCACUAUAGAGGAGGGUUCAUGGUCUUCCAAAUGCCCUGAGAUCAAGAUGACAGGGGACAGCACUUGCCUUCCACAAUGUUCAUCUCAGCCCACUCUUGGUAGUUGGAUCUUGUUCAGGAAAUGAACUGAGGGAUAAGACUUUGCCUAGCUGGUUCUCAAAGUUCAGGCUUGAGACUCCCCCUCUGUGAAUGUCAACUUUCCUGUCUUCUACAGGGAGGGGAGUGUCUCAGGGGUCUGCUGGUUUCUUUUCCUUUUCACAUACUUCAGGUUACCCAAGGGACAGCCUCCUCAACCUUACUCAUAGCUGCACAAGACAAAGCCUGGCUUCAGACUCCGCAAAUCUGGCCUCAGCAGCCAUGGGAAUGGUGGCACAGUUCAACAUGACUUUUUUGAGACACAGGCUCUCCUGGAACUUGCACUGCAGUCAGUCUUCCAUUCUCCUCCUCAUUUCCCAAUUCGUUGAGAUCAUGGCAUGCAUCAUUAUGCCCAGCUCCUUUUUUCUAUUUCUAAAUGUUCACACAUCCAGAAAGAUCCAAACUCUAAAAUGAUUGUGUUCCCAGACCUUUCCCACAGGGGAUUCUUGACCUUUGGAAACCCAGGAGCCAGUGUUGUUUGAGUAGCUACUUCAUUCCCAGCCUGAGGCCCAGAUCUAAAAAAGCAGGCUGUGUGAGAUGGAGUUUUCCAUGGUGUGAUGUCACUGGGGGAGUUCCCACACAGCAGAGCUGACUCAGGCUGCACUGUUAGGCUGGUGAAAGUGACUCAGAGCCUGACACUGGGUGCCUGAUAAUCCCACCAUCCCCUGGUCCUUAGAUGGCUCCUACCUCAGGGCCUUAAUCUGAUCUUUCCUACUAGUCUGUAAGUCCACUGCCCUUCAGUGCAGAUGGGGAGGCCUAGUCACUCUGAGGCUGGAAAGUUGGGGGCCUAAGGCUAGUUUGGUCUCUACAGGGAGAUGCUGUUUGGUUUGUUUUUGUUUUAUUUAUGUAUAAAAAAGUUUUUUCCAUUUUACAUACCAGUUUCAGUUCCCCCUUACUCCAUAUUUCUAAUGCCCCAUCACUCCCUGUCCCACCUCCCGUCUGCUCUUCAGAGAGGGUCGGGCCUCCCUUGGGUAGUCACCAAUGUCUGGCAUACUAAAUUGAUGCAGAACUAAGCCCCUCCCCUCUGUGUCAAUGCUGAGCAAGAUAUCCUACUAUAGGACCUAGUUUGGUCCCAUGCUUGUUCUAGUUUCUAGCUUGGGUAAGCUAUAUCUGUGGUUUUCCCCAUCAUGAUCUUCACCUCACUUGCUCCUGUGGUUCCUCCCGCCACUCUUCAACUGAAAUCUAGGAGCUCAGCCCAGUGCUUGGUUGUGGAUCACUGCAUCUGCUUCCAUUAGUUUCUGGAUGUAGGUUCUAUUUUGACGAUUAUGGUAGUCACUAAUGUAAUCAUAGGGAAAGUAUGUUCAGGCCCCCUCUCCAUUAUUGCUUGAAGUCUUAGCUGUGGUCAUCUUUGUGGAUUACUGGGGAUUUUCCUAGCACCAUGUUUCUCCCUAACAACCUAAUGGUUUCCUCUAUCAAGGCAUCUGUUUCAUUACUCUUCUUCUUUAUUCCUCCCUCCACUCUGCCAUCUAAGUCCCUCCUGUUCCUAUCCUCCUUCCCCUUACUUCUAUCCCCUCCCAGUUUACCCAGGAGAUCUUACCUAUUUUCCCUUUCUGGGGCCCUCCAUGUGUGUCCCUCUUAGGGUCCUCCUUUUUAUGUAGCUUCUCUGGGGUUGUACAUAGUAGCCAGGUUACCCUUUGCCUUGCAUCUAAUAUCCAUUUAAGAGUGAGCACAUACCAUGUAUGUCUUCCUGGGUCUGGGUUACCUCCCUCAGGAUCUAGUUCCAUGCAUUUGUCUACAGAUUUCAUGGUGUCACUAUUUCUUUUUUACCACUGAGUAAUAUUCCAUUGUGUAAAGGUACCACAUUUUCUUUAUCCAUUUUUCAGUUGAGAGCCAUCUAGGUUGUUUCUUGGUUCUGUCUAUUAUGAAUAAUGCUGCUAUAAUCAUGGCUGAGCAAGUGACCUUGUGGUAUGAUUGAGCAUCUUUUGGGUAUAUGCCCAAUAGUGGUGUUACUGGAUCUUAAGGCUGGUUGAUUCCCAAUUUUCUGAGAUAAUGCCAUACUGAUUCCAUAGUGGCUGUACAAGUUUGCACUCCACCAAAAAUAGAGGCAUGUUCCCCUUGCUCCACAUCCUCUGUCAUUAAUGGUUUUGAUCUUAUUCAUUCUGACAGAUGUAAGAUGGUAUCUCAGUGUCUUUGAUUUGCAUUUCCCUAAUGGCUAAAGAUUUUGAGCAAUUCCUUAAAUGUCUUUUGACCAUUGUCUUCUGUUGUGACAUUGACCAAAUGUCUUCUGUUGUGAAUUCUCUGUUUAGAUAUGUACCCCAUUUUUUAAGUUGGAUUAUUUGGUAUUUUGAUGUCUAGUUUCUUGACAUCUUUAUAUAUUUUGGAGAUCAGCCCUCUGUCAGAUGUGGGUUUGGUAAAUAUAUUUUCCCAUUCUGUAGGCUGUCAUUGUGUCUUGUUGACCCUGUCCUUUGCAUUACAGAAGCUUCUCAGUUGCAGGAGGUCCCGUUUAUUAGGUGUUGCUCUCAGUGUCUCUGCUACUUCUCUUCUAUCAGGUUCAGUGUAACUGGAUUUAUGUUGAGGUCUUUGAUCCAUUUGGACUUGAGUUUUGUGCAUGGGCAUAGAUAAUGGAUCAAUUUGCAUUCUUGCAUGUGUCAACAUACAGUUAUGCCAGCACCAUUUGUUGAAGACGCUUUCUUUUUUUUCAUUGUAUAAUUUUAGCUUCUUUGUCAAAAAUCAGGUGUUCAUAUGUCUUUGGAUUAGUCUCAGGGUUUUUGAUUUGAUUCCAUUGAUCUAUGUGUCUAUUUUUAUGCCAAUACUAAGUUGUUUUAUACAAAUGGCCAACUUAGCUCUAUAGUAGACCUUGAGGUCAGGGAUGGUGAUACCAGACAUUCUUUCAUUGUACAGGAUUGUUUUGGCUAUCCUGGUUUUUUUGGUUUUCCACAUGAAGGUGAAAUUUUUCUUUCAAAUUCUGUGAAGACUUUAGUUGGGAUUUUGAUGGGGAUUAAAUUGAAUCUGAAGAUUGCCUUUGGUAAGAUCGCCAUUUUUACUAUGUUAAUUCUACCUAUCCAAGAGCAUAUGAGAGCUUUCCAUUUUCUGAUAUCUCCUUCAAUUUCUUUUUUAAAAAACUUAAUGUUCUUGUCAGACAGGUUGCCAAAAGGUAUUUUAUGUUGUUUGUGGCUAUUGUAAAGGUGGAUGUUUCUCUGAUUUCAUUCUCAGCCCAUUCAUCAUUUGUACUGAUUGUGUGUGUGUGUGUGUGUGUGUGUGUGUGUGUGUGUGUGUGUGUGUGUGUGUGUUAAUCUUGUAUCCUGCCACAUUACUGAAGGUGUUUAUCACCUGAAGGAGUUCCCUGGUAGAAUUUUUGGGGUCACUUAUGUAUACUAUCAUAUCAUCUGCAAAUAGUGAAUGUUUGACUUAUUCCUUUUAUACCACCUUGAUCUCCUUUUGUUAUCUUAUUGCUCUAGCUAGAACUUCAAGUACAAUGUUGAUGGAUAAGGAGAGAGUGAGCAGCCUUGUUCUAUUCCUGAUUUUAGUAGAAUCCCUUUGAGUUUCUCUUCAUUUAGUUUGAUGUUGGCUGUAGGCUUGCUGUAUGUUGCCUUUAUUAUGUUUAGGUAUGUUCCUUGUAGCCCUGAUCACUCCAAGACUUUUAUCAUGAAGAGAUGUUGAAUUUUGUCACAGGCCUUUUCAGCAGUUAAUGAGAUGAUCAUGUGGGUUUUUUUCUUUUAGUUUAUUUAUGUGGUGGAUUACAUUUACAGACUUUCAUAUGUUGAACCACUGAAACAAAAGGAUAUAGAAAAGGUAGGACAAAGGGUAGAUUAUUGAAUCUACUCUGAAAAGAAAAAAGAGAGAAUCUAGAUAUGAUAAGAUAGAGAAGGGAACUACUAGUUUUAAAUGUUUCACAUUGGAUUGGAUUUUUGUAUAUUGCAUAUAAAUUAUAUUGAUACAAAUCUGAGUUUGAUUUUGUUAGAAAAUACUGUACAUAUAUUUCUCAUCUUGUUCAAUGUAUCAUUCCUAUACAGUUCAUUUCACAAUGCAAUGCAAUUUUCUAGUCCUUGAAAGUUAUUGCCAACUAUUUAGGAUAAUAAAGAAAUGCAGGUUAGUAGUUAGUCAUUACAAUGAAAACUGUAGUCAUAUUAGGUCUGUUCUCAAGGUCAAGUAGAAAUAUAUUUUUGAUAGACAGGUCAUCUUAAAGCAUUUCAGAGAUCUGCAGAAUAUGGCAUUUAAGAUGAUAACAUAGAUUUUUUUCUUUUUUUAUGACUAUGAGACAUGUCUGCUUCUGGCAGCAUCAAUCUACUUCAAAGAAGAUGAUGGGCAUUGAAGAAACUCUAUAUAGUGUUUACUUUCUUUGUGGCAUAAGUUAGCCACUGGGCAAGGAAGUGACCUUACAUCAACUGCUGACAGUAUGCUGUCCAAAUGGACAAGCAGGACACAAAAGAAAGGACUGCUGCACCUUUCAAAGACAAGAACCAUAAAAACCCCUCUAAGGCAAAUCCUCAAGUUGAUCAUGAAAAGUACCAGGGAAGGGACACUGAGAUGACAAGGUCUAAAUUUGAAGUUUCCUAUCUGGGAUCAUCCACGUGAUGAGUACUGCAAUGAUGAUUCUCUUUAUUGGAAGGUGGGUCACCCCCAUUGAGACCCCGCUGGCCGGGGCAACUGGCGCCCGACGUGGUGGCUCGACCCUUGCCUCGUUGGGAGUUGAACAUCAUUCUCCAGGAAAGUCCAGACGUCUGGUGGAGAUAUACUUGCUGAUCAUCCGUUGAGACCGCCCGACUUGACACCCUUUCUUGACGAUCUGGAGUAGAGCAAGAAGGAUGAAGUUAGUCUAAACUUCAGACUUAACCAUGGGACAGGGAAGUUCUUCCCAUGAUCUUUUCAUUAAGGGCAUUAAAGAGGCCCUCAAGACACGAGGGAUAAGGGUUCAUAAAAAAAGACCUUGACAAAUUCUUUAGUCACUUAGAGGACUGUUGUCCCUGGUUUCCCCAAGAAGGGACGAUUGAUGAAAAACGUUGGAAAAGGGUGGGUGACUGCCUUACUAACUACUACCACGUCUUGGCCCAGACAAGGUCCCUGUUAUAACCUUUUCCUAUUGGAACCUUGUUAAUGAUAUCUUCAGGAUCCAAAGGAACCCUCCCUCCCCUGACAUCAAGUCGGUUAUUUCUCAGGGACAAAAAGUCAUGAAAGAAAAAUCUCGUCCCCCCUCUUGCACUGAUUCACAUCCCCCCUUCCCCCGUGCAUCCUCUCCACUCCCCCCGACCCCUUUCACGAGCGCCCUCUAUACAGGAGAUUAAAAAUAUGGAAGAAGGAGCCCAAUCACCCCCACCUCAGUCUAUCUACCCCUCCCUCCAGGAUCUAGACCCACCCCCCCUUAACCCUGGCAAUAAGGCCGGUCAAAAAAAAGAGGCCGCCAAAUAUCAUAAUUCUGAUUGGCCACCUCAUGCGUCCUUGGCCCCCAUAACCCCCCUCUCACAAAAGCCACUCCCAACAAAGACACCAUACAAUCUUACUCAGCCCCCUCCUUAUGAUGCCACUCCCAUUGCCCCCUUUUGUGCCCCAGUCAUUGAGGCCCCUGUGGGUUCCCGUGGGCACUCCCAAUGCUGACCCCUGAUGAUCCAGAAAUCCCCCUAAUCUCGUAACAGAAUUACAGCGCCUACAGGGCACACUUCGGGCUUGCAGACAGCACCUAGCCCUUAUAAAGGAACUAUGCUCUCUUGAUCAGGAGCUCUCUGAUCUCGCCCUGGGUGCCCCCAAAACUUGGCCACUACCAACCACCUCAUGUCCUAGAUGUGGCCAUGGCCUUCAUUGGGCAAGGGAAUGCAAAUCUAAAACCGACGCCCAUGGUCGCCCACUCCCUGCCUGUCAGGAAACUUUCUUCGGUGCCAGCCUCUGGCUCCUCAGCUCCGGGGAGCAUCCCAUGGGGCCUUGCAGGCUGCUCCCCAACUGUCUGCUCCCUCCAAUGGGCAACCCCUGGUAGCGCAGGCUUGGACCACUGUGCUGCCACCGACACAAUACUAGACCCGUCCCAGGGCUCCCAAGUCAUCUCUACCGGGAUUUGGGCCCUCCUACCCCCAGACACCCAUGGCCUUAUCCUUGGCCAUGCCUCAUCCACCUUAAGAGGUGUCCAGGUCUACCCCAUAAUUAUUGAUAAUGACUAUACAGGAAAAAUUAAGAUUUUGGCAUCAGCACUCCAGGGUCUUGUUGCUGUCCCCAGCGGCACCCACCUUGCCCAGCUGGUUACCCUUCCCGUGCUUUCCUCUGAGAACCCCAUUCAGUCUGCCCAGCCCUGAGGAGCUUCUCAGACUGGCUUAUCAGAGGCUUAUUGAAUUCAGCCUAUUUCCCACUCUUGACCCACACUUACCUUUAAACUAGAUGGCAAAAAAUUCAGGGGAUUCUGGAUACUGACGCUGAUGCCACUGUGAUCUCCCAAGACCACUGGCCCGCCUCCUGGCCCCUCACCCCCUCCCUCACCGACCUCAAGGGCAUAGGUCAAUCCAACAACACCCUCCAAUCCUCUAAAGUUCUAACCUGGUCAGAUGAGGAGGGUAACCAGGGUACUGUCACCCCCUUUGAGGUCCCUGGGCUCCCUGUCAACCCUUGGGGCCGAGAUAUUCUCUCCCAAAUGAAAGUUAUCCUCUGUAGCCCAAAUGAGGUAGUUAUCCAACAAAUGUUAUGCAUGGGCUUCAUCCCAGGAAAGGGUCUUGGUAAACUUCAACAGGGCCGAACCCAACCCGUCGCUCCCGCUAAUAAGACAGACAGGCUCGGUCUUGGCUUUGAGGGUUUUUAAUUGAGGCCACUGCUCCCCCUGUACACCAUGCAGACAAAAUCACUUGGCUUACCCAUGUGGUAGAUCAGUGGCCUCUGCCACAAGAGAAACUACAGGCAGCUGAGAUGUUAGUACAGGAACAGCUCGCCACCGGUCAUAUUGAACCAUCCAAUUCCUCCUGGAAUAUGCCCAUCUUUGUCAUAAAGAAAAAAUCUGGGAAAUGGAGACUCCUCCAAGACCUGCGAGCCAUUAAUAAGGUUAUGCAGCCCAUGGGCGCCCUCCAACCAGGCAUGCCCUUACCCAUCGCCAUCCCUGAGGCCUAUCACAAAAUGGUUAUCGAUUUAAAAGAUUGCUUCUUUACCAUCCCCCUACACCCUGAUGAUUGAGCUUAUUUUGCCUUUAGCCUCCCUUGGGUUAAUUUUCAGGGCCCCAUGCUCUGCUUUCAUUGGCACGUCUUACCCCAGGGAAUGGCAAAUAGCCCGACUCUCUGCCAAAAGUUCAUGUCUCAGGCGGUCGACCCCAUACACCAAAAAUGGCCCUCUACUUAUAUCUUACAUUACAUGAAUGACCUUCUUUUGGCCGCCCCUAGCUCCUCCAUCCUAGAAGCAACCUUCCAAGAUCUGUCACAGGCCCUUUAUGCUGCUGGACUACAGCUCGCCCCUGAUAAGAUCCAGCACUCUGCAUCCUUUAGUUUUCUGGGCCUUGAAUUGCAUUCCAAUCGAGUUUUGGUCCCACGCAUCCAGCUGUGCACAGAUAACCUUAUCACCCUUAAUGAUUUUCAAAAAUUUCUCGGGGGCAUUAAGUCACUUCGACCAUACUUAAAACUCCCUACUGCUGAUCUUCUACCCCUCUAUGACAUUCUUUGGGACCCCAGUGAACCCACCUCCCCCCCGUCAAUUGACCCCGGCUGCCCAUAAGGCCCUGUCACUAAUCACCAGGGCCAUUUCCUCCCAAGCCUCUUUUCAGAUUGAUUAUUCCCUCCCGCUGGUUUUUGAUGUCUUAUCUACUCCCCAUGUGCCCACCGGGGUCCUUUGGCAGAGCUCCCCUUCCACACUAAGGGCCCAGGAUAAACUUAAGGGUCAUUCCCUCUUAUGGAUUCAUAUGCCUGCCAGUCAUACUAAGGUCAUUCCCACCUGUCCCCAACUUGUCUCUUCUGUAAUCAUGCGCAGUCGCCAGACCUCUCAACAGAUCUUUGGUAAGGACCCAAUUACAUCUUAACCACCUACACCCAUGAAUAAACUCAAUUUUUGUUUCA